ACUGUCCUUAUCUUGGGGUUGCGUGGCUGUUCAAUGAACGUAUGGUGAGAACAGCACUGCUAACACCAUUACAACACAUGCGCAUCACCUAGAUAUCUGUCUAGGCUAUGGUGCAAUUUUUGGAACC